rnacentral:rRNA from 1 species
UAAAUUAAAUUUACUUUUUAAAAAUCUAAUUUUCAACUAUUUCAAAUUUCUAUAACUAUACUAAUUUACUAUAAAUUUUUUUAAUUUUUUCUAUUAAAAUACUUUAACCCCCAUUAUGUAUAUUAAUAUUAAAAUUAUUUUUAUUAAAUUUAUAUUAUUAAUUUAUAAUUUAU